UACGUAGGGGGCUAGCGUUGUCCGGAAUCAUUGGGCGUAAAGAGCGUGUAGGCGGCCCGGUAAGUCCGCUGUAAAAGUCAAAGGCUCAACCUUUGAAUGUCAGUGGAUACUGCCGGGCUAGAGUCCGGAAGAGGCGAGUGGAAUUCCCGGUGUAGCGGUGAAAUGCGCAGAUAUCAGGAGGAACACCAAUGGCGAAGGCAGCUCGCUGGGACGGUACUGACGCUGGAGACGCGAAAGCGUGGGGAGCAAACAGG
rnacentral:rRNA from 1 species